CCCGCACGCGAGGUCGUCAGCCCAGGUAGACUGCGUGCCUGAGCCGCUCACUUCUCAGGAGGGUUCCGCAGACAAGUCAGACCCAGUCAGGCUCCGCCAGAUGAAGAAACUGAAGCUGAGAGUGACCGAGUCUGGACCCUACAGUAGUGAGUGGCAGAGCUGGGAUGCAAACGUACAUCUGUUUAGCCUCAAAGCCAAGGUUCUCUCCAGUGCACUGCACCCGCGCGUCAUUACUAACUACGAGGGGGGCCUGGUGUGAGGUACAGAGGCAGCGUGGGACAGUGGCUGGAGACCAGACCCUGGAGCCAGACAGCAGGAGUUGGACCCCUGCUCCACCCCGGACUGUGUGACAGCCGGCCAUCUGCAGGACCUCUCUGUGCUCCGACUUUCUCACCUAGAAAGCAGGGCUAAUCGCACUAGACUCAGGUUAUGAGGGUUCCAUAUUUUCUAAAACACUUAGAAGAAAGCUUAAGCAUGUAUACCAAGAACUACAUAAAUCCUUGUAAAAAUUUCUAAAAAUUAACCUCUCCUCUCACUGUAUUUUUUACGUCUAGAAUCUGGGGCUGAAUGUAGUCAUCAGAAAAAGUAGUAUUGUUCAGAGAUUUAAUAUGAAAACCAUUACGUAAGGAUGAAAUAUUUUAACUCUGGCCAAAGCCCAUGAGCUCAGAUUAAUGCAUUAAUUGUGCAGAAUCUAUCAUCUUCAAAGACAAAACGGCUUUUCUGAUGCUAUUUUGUGCCAGAGUACUAUAACAUGCCAAGACGAAGAACACUGGAGCCACAUUAAAGAAUAUCUACUAACUUUAAGUGUCUAAUGGAUUUUGUUACUUCAUUUUCUCAAGGGGAAUAUUGGAGAUGUUACCCCAAAUGUUUCAUCCGUGAAAGCUAGGUUUCUAGCCAAAGUCUCAGAAAAUGACUUCCUAACUAUACAUGAAUAACUUCUGUGUGUGCCUGUAUGUUGCAA